AGUAGAUAGGACCCCUGUAAUUAAUUAUAUCUCUCUGCAAAUAUCUAUAUGUUGUUAUUGUUCUGUGAAUUGGUGCUUCUUUACGUAAUUAACAUUAACUUGGUUCCUUUGUAGAGUCCCUGUCUUGAAGUACCGUUGAGAAGCCACUAAUGUUUAAACUUUGAAGGGUAGAUGAGUAUAUGGUUGAAAUUAACUGAAUUUUUUUUUUUUAUUAUGUGUUUGUUUUAAGGAAGAGAAAUCAGUAUAUAUAUAUGCCUCUAUUAUAUGUUUCAAUUUAUAUUUUUGCUAAUUAAUUAAAUAAGUGAUUCACAACUAAUAAGGACUUCAUUUAUUGUGUGUUCGUUUUAAGUGUGCAAUUUGAGUGUUUAUCUACAGAUGACUCUAUCCUCUCAGUUUUCCUAAUAUUCUAAUAAAAAGCAGCUUAAUUUCCAACUACUAGAUUCCUUAACCAUCUAAUUCCUUUCAACUUAAAUCUCCCACAACACCACAUUCUUGGCUUUCAACUUAAAUCAUUCAAUCCAAAAAUUAAGAAAAAAAAAGGGUCUGAAAAUUUCUGUGGUAUAAUCAAUGGCUAGUGCCUACAAUUCUUAUACAUACCAAAACUCAUCAUCAUCAGCAUCAACAUCAUCUCAUAGAUCAGUGGCCAUGAUACUAGCUGAUGUAAUUGGUGCAGUAGUGCUUUCUCCUUUAUACAGCGUUAAUUGGAAGAAAGAGACCACUCCAUAUUAUGAAACGAAAUGGAGUUCAGGGUUUGUUCUGCCCAUGGCUCUAGCAUGGCUUAUUAUUGCCAUUAGAACAAUUUCACCAUCACUUUCAUCAUUUUCUCACAUUGUCCUAAAUAAAAUAUGUGGUAGAGUAUUGAAUUAUAUAUAAGAAUAUGGACAAUUCCACUUAUGACCAAUUAAUUUUAAGAUAGAAUCUUAUAAUCUUCAAUAGUUAAUUCAUUCUCUCUUGAUCCGUUAUGGUACUUAGAAUUGGGAGCUCAUAAUGGGGAUCGCUGGGCUCUUAAGUCUUAAUCAUGCUCAUGCUUGUGCUUUCGUGGCAACUCUGUUCAAGAGUUCUUCUAGAGAUGAAUAAUUAGCUCGUACUUGUGAAUUUGACUAUCAAAUCAUUAUUCAUGGUGAUUUGUAUUAAUCUCAUAAUUUUAGUACCUUGUUACGUAAAAUGAUACCAUAAUUGGGAAUGGAUAAAUAUAGACGUAUAUAUUGUUUUUUUACUUAUUUAGAUUAAGAAUUAUUGAUUAAUAAGUGCAUAACUUGGACAAGCUAGCUUGUACUUUUGCUUAAGCCAAUUUCAAGUUGUAAGGCAAAUUUCAACAUAGCUGAAAAAUAAUGAGCAAUUAACGUUAAAAGACAAAAACAAUGGAACAGUCAAUAGACAAAAAAGAAAAAAAAAUAAUCGUUUGGCUUUGGUCGUUAAACAGAGUUUGUUAACAGAGAAGGGGAAGCCGGCCGAUGUGAUUUGGUUUUCAAUUUAAUUGGAAAUGAUUUUAUGAUCUUGAAAAUGCAAAACAUAUGGCCCCUACACAAAUCAUGGACUAAAAUGUGCAUUUUCAAAAAUUUGUCCAAAUACAAAUUUCAAUUUUAGCCUAAAAAUAACUAUGCAAUUCGUGUUAUCCCUACAUCCAAGUUGUCCUUCAUCAACUGUCACUCACGAGUCACGAGCUUGUCGUUCUUCAAUUUCUAGUCAUAUUAUAGAACAAUAACAGUGUAAGAAGCUUGUUUGGUUCACCAUUAUCUUUAUAUAUUAAAAGUGCCUAUCUAACGCCAAUUCUUGGUUUAACGAUUGUUUUUGGUUUAUCUGUUUAUUUUAACAGAAUAUACCCUUCUUUAACAGAAUAUUCAUAAUUAAUUUUAUAUUAUUUUAUAAAUUAUUCUAAUAAAAUAAAUAAAAUUAUUGAUAUUUUUUCAAUCGUUAACUGACAAAAUGAAAAAAAUAUUAUACAAUUUAGGUAUAGCCUAAAAACUUGGAAAGUAAUUAAGUAUUAUAUAAAGUAGCUACAUCCUUUUUGAAUUUUUGUAGCCUAGCAACGAGAAAACGGCACCAGCGUCACAAGAAAUCACCGCUUGAAACAUCCAUGGCAAGAGAAGAAGCCAAUGUUUUUUUUUUGAAAAAGCUUAAAUGGAUGCUCUUUGAAGAUGUAAAAUAUUUCAAAAAGCUAAAUGGGUGCUCUUUGGAGAUGUAAAAUUUUUCAUAGGAUUCCGAUAUGGUGGAGAUGGUACUACUGGGGGUGUCCGAUAGCGUGGAGCUUGUACGGAUUGGUGGUAUCGCAGUAUGGUGAUGUAAAGGAAGAAAUGGACAAUGGUGAGAGUGUAGAAGAAUUUGUGAGACGUUACUAUGGGUAUGAUCGAGAAUUUCUUCCUGUGGUUGCUAUCGUCAAUGUGGCUUUCACUGUCACCUUCGCCUUCAUCUUUGUCCUUUCCCUUAAGGCAUUCAAUUUUGAGAGGAGAUAAUUAACUCAUUAUUUAUUUAUUCUUUUUUAUGGUAAAAAGUGAAAAAUAAAAUGAUUAAUAUAAAUUAUUGUUGAAGAGUAUAUGAUUAUUAAGUAUUCGUGUAUAUUAAACUUUAUUCGUGUAUAUUAAACUUUAUUUAAUAUUAUUAUUUUACAUCUAAA